GUCGGAGGGCAAAGCCUACGCUGCAAUUUCUGAGCAAGGCUGAGCUGCCUCUCACCAGCAGGUGUCAGACCCAUUGCAAACCUCACUGAGAGCAGCCAGAACCAACCCCAUGACUGAGCAGCUGCUGCCUUCAAGGCUUGAGAAAGUCCCCUCCUUGAGACAAGCCCCUUGACACAGCAGAGGAAGGAUCAUCCCCAGCUGCCCACCAGGAACUCCCCAUCAGCAGUGGUGAGAGCUGCUGAAAUUUCUUCCCACUCAACAUCAGCAGGAAGCUUUCCUUUCAAGAAUAUUAUGGUGAAGGUACAGCAAGAACAAGGAUGAAUCCAGCACCCGGAGUUUGCCCCGAUCCAGGUGCAGAACCUGGCACUUGGCCUUGUUGAACCUCACGAGGUUCUCAUGGUCCCACUUCUCAUCUGCACCUGCACAGCUCCCUUGUGAGGCACUGCAGAAUUGCCCUCUGUGAUCCAUGGCACACACUGCAGUGGUCUGGAAUUCCAGCUUCCAGCAUGGAAAAUAUGUUCCUGCCCUCUAAAGCAAAGCUCUGAAAGGACUGAAACCCAAGCAGAGCAAGAUCUUACAAUGACAUCUCACGACCAGCCUUCAUAACUUCAUCAAGGGCUGAUUUAGCACUGCUUUAGGACUGGGGAAAAAAUCAGAGGAUGGUUUUUGGCUGGGAGCUGCCAUGGGUACACAUGGACACUAGGAAAGAAACAGAGCAGGUAUAGAAAGACAGAAGAGAAAGGAGGACACAAAGAGCACUAAACUGAGAAAGUGGUACUCUGAAAUCCAAAGUGGAACCUACUGAAAAGGAAUGGGACAGAAAUCAAGAAUUCUGAAACUUUUAUUUACUAUCCAAAUACAAUUUCCUCACUUGAUCACAAACCUCCUCCUGAUAACAAGUAAUCCAGCAUGGUUUCCAGAAAGUACUUGGUUCUGAAUGGAUGUUGCAGGAUGUUGAGGGGCAGCAUAGCAAUUUUAUUCCCUGGCCUUCGUAAUUCUGCCACAAGCCAGGUGUAACCCACACAGGAGCCCUGAACCUACAGGACCCAAGGCUGAAGUGGUGACAGGCACUACAGCUGUUAAGUCAGAAAACAAAGAAAAUAAAGGUUUCUCUUAUUUUUAUUAUUAUUAAAUAAAAUAUUAAAUUAAAAUUCAUAUUAAAUAUAAUAAAGAAAAUAGUGUCACACACUGAUAUGAAGUGACCACAGAGCAGGACAGAAGCUGUUCAACAAAACUGUUCUGUGGCUGUUAGAAAAUGCUGAUACUUCAAAAAACAUAAGGUGGGGCCAUUGUGAAAACUGGUUCAGAUUUGUCAAAAUGUCAGUUCUUUAAAAGGGUAUGUUUUGAGAAUUGGAUUCAGAAACUAAAACCAUUUUACUGCAAUUUUUAAUAAAGGAAGAAGUAGAACAAAGCCUAGAGCUAUCAAACAACCCAGACUUUAUGUUACAUCAAAGACAUGCUAUUUUGAUCUGUAUUGGCAAGGAGGAAAAAAUUUGAAGUUGAAAGAUUCCAUGGAAAAGGAAAAACAUUUCAUCCAUGUCUAAUUUUAAUAAUCCAGCAUGCUCUAGUAAACAAAAUUAAAUGUAAAAUAUAAAUAAAAAACAGCCCCUUCCUCAUUUUGGAGGUUUAUCAGUCACUGCAGUCUUGUUAUAUUUAUGCUAUUGGUAAAAUAAUAGUAUAAAAAAAGUGAAACGCUGUAUCUUCUCCUAAACUGAUGAGAAUCCAAAUACCAAGUAGUUCAUAAAGCAGUUUUUGAGGAGCACAUGCAAAUUUGACAGCCAUAUCCAUUGACAGUUCUGCCAGCUACUGCUCUGGGCUGGAAGAAUUCAAUGACCCAGCAGAGCUAUGCUUAAAUAACCUACAGUAACAAUUCUGCUGAGAAAAGCUUUGCACAGCCAUAUUCCUGCAGCUACUACUUAUCAGAUGCUGCCUGAGCAGCAAACUAUUCCUCUAGAAACAGGCCUGUGGGAACAGGAACAUCGAGGGAAACAACAGUAUGGAAAAUUUCUGACUUUUGAGAAGGCAGGCGGAUCUCUGAAAUUACCCAAACCAAGCAGAGGUUGCAGAUGGUGGACAGAGUUUGGGAAUAAAGGAAGGGCUACCUUCCUCAGAGUUAAGACCUCAGAGUUUUAUAGCAAGUGAAGCAACAGUAAAUCACUCUGGUGCUAAACCAAAGACCAAAGAGCAGUAGCAGAAAACCUCCUAAAACCCUGGUGAGCACCCCGAGGCUCAUCCUGCAUGGGGAACUCUGAUUCCAAGGGAGUUAUUACUGAAGGGUAACGAGUCCCAGGGCAAGGGCAGUGGCUGCAGGCUGAGUGGAAGUUCCCAUGCUAAGACCAGGAGCCUGGGUUGCUCCCACAUCCCCAGGUCAUCGUGAGAGGAAGCUGAUGUUUGUGCUGCCAGAGCAACACAGGGUCACUCACUCAGAGGAGAGCUGGCUUCCACUCUUAACUCAGCCACUGGCCUCUUGCUUGGCUGCUCUGUCUCCCCAUUUCCUGGCAAGGCUGACCUCCUUCUUAAAAAUUGCUGAGAUUUACUCCUGAGAAGUCCUGUAGAAGCACCAGUGGUUGCAAUGAGCCCAUCAUUUUAAUUUAUCCACAUAAAAUAGGCAAGUACUUGAGUCCCUGUAGGAAUUUUCAUAAGCACACUGUGAUUUAUCAGUAGCCUAAUUACCAGAUUCCUCAGCUGUUUAAGGAGCUGUGAGAAGAGGAUGCAUCCUUCCUCGGACCAGCUGAUACAGUCAGAAAAGUCAGGCAAGCUUUCAAGUACAUGAUCCCACUACGUUUGUAGACUCACACAACUCAUAUAAUGAAAUUAAGUACAGUCUUCACCCAGAGAGUCCUGGGCAUACAUCUUGUCAUGGGGUGGCACAUCUUCAUGCAUAAAUGGAGAGAGCUGGAAAAGAUCAGCAAUGUGGUACUCUGAUUCCAUAAGCCAGUUCUCAGCUCUCAAAUGCUUUUAUAUUUCUUCAGAGAACACUUCCCUCAACCUGCAUCUAAUCUCUGACUAAGCUCAGCACACAAGUGGUAUUUAACAAACAGCUUCCAUUAAGAUUCCCAGACCACUUAAUUUCUGGCUGUUCCUUCUUUGUAAAUAACCCUGAGCGAUUGCUUCCCUUGCUGCACAAGAAAUGCUUUUAAUCACACGAGCCUCUGAGAUCUCAAGUGCCAUCAGAAGCAAUGUUUGUUUUUUACUGCAAGAAGAAACAAGUAUGUACCAAAAAAACCAAACCAAAACAAAACAAUGGAAGUUGGGUUAGAAAGAACGAGGGUAAAUAUUUAAGAAAUGCUAUCAGAAAUCUCAUUUAAUCUCAUUUUUCUCGUUAGAGUAGAAUAAUCAAGGAAUACGCCAGGGUGUCCCAUGCUCUGGGACUGUCAUUUUUAAAGCUGAAUCUACCUGCAAAUUACUGGUUUCAAGUAGAACCUAGAAGACCCAGGUGAGAUGAGACUGGAUAUUGGUGCUGCACUUGUUGAUUGAAAAAGUUGAUGCCUUUACACUGACAGGAUGAACAAGAGACAAAGUGAACAGCUGCAGCAGGGUGAUGUGACUGACCCCAGGUAACCCAGAGCAGCAGCACAGCUGAGAGCAGAUGCUUUGUGCCUUUGCCAAACCUUUUUUUCUGCUUCCUUUUCAAAUUUAUCACUACUCCUUUCCCAGUGAGUCAUCAGCUGAAGGAGAUUAGACAAACUCUUUAGCCACUGUAAAAAACCCUGGUAAACACGUCCCUCCUUGAAGCAAUAGUUUCAUUUGCUGCACUGAGUAUCUUAGCAUGUAACGCCAACACUUGCUCCAGACUGUACUUUAGCCUUCUCUGCAAAGCCUGUAACCCUGUGACCCUCGAUGACAAACUCUAGUUGGCAUGAAAGUCCAGUGGGAGCUAAGCUUUCAUCACACCAAAUACAUAAUUUGAUGCUGUUGCUGUACUGAAACCUGCAGACAUCAUUAAUCAGGCCCAGCAUAGUGUAAUCUGCGCUCUGCACACACACAAUCUUCAUUUGAAUCAUGCAAUUCCUUCAGCAGCGGUAUUUUUUGCUAACAAAUCAGUUGAUUGUGAAUUUCUCCUGAAGUGGCAGGACAAAGAACAAACUCUACCCUUGCUAGGAUGCAGUUUACAGCAGAAUUUCAAUUGUUUACAAAAACUCUCUGAGGAGAUGCAGUGCCCUUAAUCAUUAAAUAUACAGCAGAAUUUGCUUAUUCCAAAUGGACAGGCCAGACCUGUAGAUCCAUAGCACUGACAGCCUUUCCAGACCUUUCCCUAAAUAAGGCCAGGAAAGAGCUAAGGACAAUAGUAGAGGAAGUCUCAUAGUACAUCAGCAGAGGCCCUCCAACCACUUAAACUUUUGCUAGUCUUGGCUCUGCUCCAGGCCUGCCUCAUUAACCACCAGCAGGUGACUUCAGCUUGUUAAGUGUCAUCUUUCUGUGAGCACAGGAUAAUUACACAAACCACUUCCCACUUCCUGAGACGACUUACACAACUGCUGCCCAUGAGCAAUGUUAUGCACAAAGCCACUGAUUCCGUGAAGCAACCAGCCAAGGGGCUGACAGAACCAGACAGGAUCUGUACUGCUGUUUUCUGACACAAAGUGGUAACCAAGACAGAAAAUUCAGCAUGAAACUCACCUCAACAGCCUUGGCAAUCUGCCCCUCGAGAACGACCCACUUACAACCUGUGAGGUUGGUUUGAGCGCUGGUGCAACAGCUCCAGCCAGGUUCACUGAAGUUGGCAGAGCUCCCAGCACAGCAGGAGUGAAACUCCAGACCCAUCCCUUGCUCCCCCCUCCACCUAAGAAUGAGCACUAACACCUGGGAUUUGUAAUCCAAUGUGGCCUGUCAUUACUGACUGCGGGCUGCUUUCAUGAACACAUUGAUCAGUAUGAGCAACAGUGAACACUGCACCGAAUGAGGAUUCACAAACUUGGAAGGCUACAGACACACAGCUUUAACGAGUUUAUACAGCAACUUUUGGCUGGCCACCAGCAGCAUCCUGCUUGUACAAUCUGCCUUUCCUGUACUCAAUCUUCACACCACACAAACAUUAACCAAGUCUCUCUGGUAACUCCAUUGCUCUCUCCACUUCUAUGAACUCCACACUAGGACAUCAAUCCAAGUCCCUCCCAGCCCUGUCACCAGAGUCAAACAGUUUCAAGACCUCUCCUUAUCUGCACAGGUCACAGUGACCUCACUGGCAAAACAAGAGCAGAAUUUACUACAACCUUCCUGCCAUAACCUCUGCCACUGUUGGCAUAAGCACAUUUAUUGCCCAAAGACUGAAUUUACUGCACAUUUUGAAGGCCUCAUGCAACAAAACUUCACAAACUCAUAAUCAUUUUUACCAUUUAACUUCUCAGUCUUUUUCUUUACAACUUAGGAUGUCUUGCCCACCUCUUCCCAAGUCCUUUUUCAUUUACUGUGGGAAAAAUGUUGCUGCCCACUAUGCCAAGUACUACUGAAAUAUAAACUUCCAUCUCUGUGGGAACACGCCCUGUGCUCCUCUUACCCCAGUAGCUUUGGUCUAUCAAGACUCAUCUCUGCCAUUUCCCCAGCCUAAAUUCCAUCUUGAGAUACUUGUUUUUCUCCAAUCUGUAGAACAAACUUCCUGAGGACCAGAUGUCCUCCUUUGUGCCCACUACUGCCUUACAUUAGCCCUUCCACCACCUUUGCAAGCCCCAGUGCAGAGUGCUGCUCACAGCCCUGUGCUCCUGUGGAUUUGGCUGCCAAAUGACUCCUCUGCCACAGACAAACCUAAAGCACCAAGCGCAAACCUUUACACUCAAAGCUGGAGUUGCAGAUCCCACAGGCCACCUCCACAGCACACAUUUCCCUUGGUGUAUCCAUCUCCUAACUGUGAUUCUAGUAUUUCUAGAUACACACAGGGGAGGGAACACUGCCUUUGGAAGAUAUUUAAGUGCAUGUUGCACAUUCAGGGACAUCGCAUGACAACACAAAGCCCUGCAUGAUGAGGUUGAUAAUUAAUGCAAGUCUAAAGCAGGUAAAUUUAGUGUGGUCCACAGUCGGUGUGCUCAGGGCAGGUGCUCCAGCAUGCUAUCCUGGGAAUCAGAGUAAUCUCCAUCCUUUCCAUUAUCCUCCAAGGCCCAGACACAGCACUGGAUUGGUGGUGUAGAUGUCAUUUCCUAUAUGGAUCCAGGAUUGCAGGGGCACAUCACACCUUUACCAGUCUUUACCCCCUGCCAUUCACCUGCACCACACUUUUAUGGAUCAGAGGAUACAGGCAUUACGUUUUUUUUCCCCCACCCUCUUCCUUACCAGGAAAUCACAAGUUUCUAGUCAUUUCAGCACCAAAUUUGAAACCCAGGCUCUUUCUAAAUCCCUUUCUCUCAAAUGAAGCAAAUUUCUCCCUCUUCAGAGAUGUGACACACCUGAAUCUGUUCUUUCCACUCUAUUCCCUUGGAUAUUUCAGUAUUUCACCUCAUUUUGGCUUUUCAAUACCUAGGAACAAUAAACAGAUACGACAUCAAAACUUAAAGCUCUCUACAAGGCACUCCUGUGAACUUCAGAGGAACAACUGUGAGGUGAAGUCCAAGCAGUCAGGGGCUGAGGAACCAAGCCUAACUUGACAAGGUUUAAUUAGGUUGUUACAGCCAAACUCAGUUCCCCUAAUGGACAAAGCGAGGUGGUUUCCUCCCCUCGUCUGUCCCAGCUCUGCUCUGCUGGCACCUGAUCCUUACACAGUAACCCUGCACUGUGGGGCACAGGCCAUUUUAGCUUCUUUCAGCUACAGCCCUGAGCCUGGCUGCCAUCUGUCACCACACUGACGUGUGCCACACUAGAGUCACCUGCUUCCAGAGCUGCACGUGAAUGAGACUGCUGGGGCUACAGAGCUCAUAAACCAGGAGUGACGCUUCACAAAUGAAUAGACUGUGCAGUUCAACUUUUUUAUUUUAAUAAAAUCAAGAAUAUGCACAGCACAUGCAGUGCUAGCAUCUAAACUAAUACAAUAAGCAAUUCUAAACCUACAGUGACUUGAAGUUCAAUUUUCACAUUCAGCAAGUUUAAAUCCAUUCUUGCAUAUUGGUUUGAAUCCUUGUAUCUGAACUGAAAAUAUUGCUGGCUGAUAAAACUUGCUAAAAUGCACAAGUCACUGAUUAUGCCAAUACAACAAAGAUAACCACAUGUUUGAGGAUUGCAAUGUGCCAGACAUUCACUGAAAAAAAAAAAAACACACAACUAAACAAAACUCACGCAACAAACAUCUGAGAAUCUGGACACUUCACAU